rnacentral:rRNA from 1 species
AUACGGAGGGUGCAAGCGUUACUCGGAAUCACUGGGCGUAGAGCGCGCGCAGGCGGGCUGAUAAGUUGGAUGUGAAAGCCUACGGCUCAACCGUAGAACUGCAUCCAAAACUGUCAGUCUAGAGUGUGGGAGAGGAAGAUGGAAUUAGUUGUGUAGGGGUAAAAUCCGUAGAGAUAACUAGGAAUACCAAAAGCGAAGGCAAUCUUCUGGAACACUCCUGACGCUGAGGCGCGAAGGCGUGGGGAGCAAACAGGAUUAGAAACCCCGGUAGUCC